GGCUCAGGAUGAACGCUGGCGGCGUGCCUAAUACAUGCAAGUCGAGCGAACGGACGAGAAGCUUGCUUCUCUGAUGUUAGCGGCGGACGGGUGAGUAACACGUGGAUAACCUACCUAUAAGACUGGGAUAACUUCGGGAAACCGGAGCUAAUACCGGAUAAUAUUUUGAACCGCAUGGUUCAAAAGUGAAAGACGGUCUUGCUGUCACUUAUAGAUGGAUCCGCGCUGCAUUAGCUAGUUGGUAAGGUAACGGCUUACCAAGGCAACGAUGCAUAGCCGACCUGAGAGGGUGAUCGGCCACACUGGAACUGAGACACGGUCCAGACUCCUACGGGAGGCAGCAGUAGGGAAUCUUCCGCAAUGGGCGAAAGCCUGACGGAGCAACGCCGCGUGAGUGAUGAAGGUCUUCGGAUCGUAAAACUCUGUUAUUAGGGAAGAACAUAUGUGUAAGUAACUGUGCACAUCUUGACGGUACCUAAUCAGAAAGCCACGGCUAACUACGUGCCAGCAGCCGCGGUAAUACGUAGGUGGCAAGCGUUAUCCGGAAUUAUUGGGCGUAAAGCGCGCGUAGGCGGUUUUUUAAGUCUGAUGUGAAAGCCCACGGCUCAACCGUGGAGGGUCAUUGGAAACUGGAAAACUUGAGUGCAGAAGAGGAAAGUGGAAUUCCAUGUGUAGCGGUGAAAUGCGCAGAGAUAUGGAGGAACACCAGUGGCGAAGGCGACUUUCUGGUCUGUAACUGACGCUGAUGUGCGAAAGCGUGGGGAUCAAACAGGAUUAGAUACCCUGGUAGUCCACGCCAUAAACGAUGAGUGCUAAGUGUUAGGGGGUUUCCGCCCCUUAGUGCCGCAGCUAACGCAUUAAGCACUCCGCCUGGGGAGUACGACCGCAAGGUUGAAACUCAAAGGAAUUGACGGGGACCCGCACAAGCGGUGGAGCAUGUGGUUUAAUUCGAAGCAACGCGAAGAACCUUACCAAAUCUUGACAUCCUUUGACAACUCUAGUGAUAGAGCCUUCCCCUUCGGGGGACAAAGUGACAGGUGGUGCAUGGUUGUCGUCAGCUCGUGUCGUGAGAUGUUGGGUUAAGUCCCGCAACGAGCGCAACCCUUAAGCUUAGUUGCCAUCAUUAAGUUGGGCACUCUAAGUUGACUGCCGGUGACAAACCGGAGGAAGGUGGGGAUGACGUCAAAUCAUCAUGCCCCUUAUGAUUUGGGCUACACACGUGCUACAAUGGACAAUACAAAGGGCAGCGAAACCGCGAGGUCAAGCAAAUCCCAUAAAGUUGUUCUCAGUUCGGAUUGUAGUCUGCAACUCGACUACAUGAAGCUGGAAUCGCUAGUAAUCGUAGAUCAGCAUGCUACGGUGAAUACGUUCCCGGGUCUUGUACACACCGCCCGUCACACCACGAGAGUUUGUAACACCCGAAGCCGGUGGAGUAACCUUUUAGGAGCUAGCCGUCGAAGGUGGGACAAAUGA
rnacentral:rRNA from 1 species